UACGGGGGGGGCAAGCGUUGUUCGGAAUUACUGGCGUAAAGGGCGCGUAGGCGGCCUGCUAAGUCACACGUGAAAUCCCUCGGCUCAACCGGGGAACUGCGUGUGAUACUGGCGGGCUUGAAUUCGGGAGAGGGAUGUGGAAUUCCAGGUGUAGCGGUGAAAUGCGUAGUAUAUCUGGAGGAACACCAGUGGCGAAGGCGGCAUCCUGGACCGAGAUUGACGCUGAGGAGCGAAAGCUAGGGGAGCAAACGGG
rnacentral:rRNA from 1 species